rnacentral:rRNA from 1 species
AUUGAACGCUGGCGGCAGGCUUAACACGUGCAAGUCGAGCGGGGUGAUGGUGCUUGCACUAUCACUUAGCGGCGGACGGGUGAGUAAUGCUUAGGAAUCUGCCUAUUAGUGGGGGACAACAUCUCGAAAGGGAUGCUAAUACCGCAUACGUCCUACGGGAGAAAGCAGGGGAUCACUUGUGACCUUGCGCUAAUAGAUGAGCCUAAGUCGGAUUAGCUAGUUGGUGGGGUAAAGGCCUACCAAGGCGACGAUCUGUAGCGGGUCUGAGAGGAUGAUCCGCCGCACUGGGACUGGGACACGGCCCAGACUCCUACGGGAGGCAGCAGUGGGGAAUAUUGGACAAUGGGGGGAACCCUGAUCCAGCCAUGCCGCGUGUGUGAUGAAGGCCUUAUGGUUGUAAAGCACUUUAAGCGAGGAGGAGGCUCUUUUGGUUAAUACCCAAGGUGAGUGGACGUUACUCGCAGAAUAAGCACCGGCUAACUCUGUGCCAGCAGCCGCCGUAA